rnacentral:rRNA from 1 species
ACAGAGGGGGCAAGCGUUAUUCGGAAUUACUGGGCGUAAAGGGCGCGUAGGCGGCCUUCUAAGUCAGACGUGAAAUCCCCGGGCUCAACCCGGGAACUGCGUCUGAUACUGGAAGGCUUGAAUCCGGGAGAGGGAUGUGGAAUUCCAGGUGUAGCGGUGAAAUGCGUAGAUAUCUGGAGGAACACCGGUGGCGAAGGCGGCAUCCUGGACCGAGAUCGACGCUGAGGCGCGAAAGCUAGGGGAGCAAACGGGA